UUAUAUCCAUUUUCUUAAUUUGCAAUAAAAUAAUAAGAUGCCAAACAUGACCUGUGUUACAUAAACAGUCAACAAAAAAACAAGACAAUACCUAAAAACACCCCUUUUCACACCACUAACAAUAAACAGAUAACAAUCGGUCAGGCAUUCAGAGCUAAACAGGGUACUGAUUAUGAGGGGCAGAUAAGGCUACUGAUAGGGUUUGCCCAGACAUAAGGCUGGAAUGAGGUAUAAGACUUUUGAUUGGUUCAAUUUUUUGCACAGGAAAUUAUUUGAAAACAACAACUUUUGAAAAACAAGCUGGUUUCAGCAAUUUAAUUGAGCUAAAUUAAAUUAACAUUAAGACUUAUACUUGUUCUGUAAAAUGUAUUGAAAUACUGUCAGCAUGAAGUAUUGUGUGAUGAAAACAAUGUGUAUUUUACUACAAUUUGGAAAUCAACAAUAAGUUUGUUGGAAAAGAAGUUCAACUGCUGUUUUUUUUGGAAUACUGAAGAACAGUUUUAACAGGUUUGUAUUGUCAUUUCUUCAUCCUUUUUUUUAUUUAGUUUACUGAAUUAAUUAUGAUCAUUAUUAUGUUUAUGUAUUGUCACUGGGAAAUGUAAAUUGAUAAGUUAAUGUAUUGCAACUUAAAGGAAAAACAACACAAUUUGAAGCAAAAAUAGAUGAACAUACACAUGACAAAGUGUAAAUGUUGUGUACAGUGAAUUAAUGUGGUUGUGUUUUAUGAUUAUUGUCAUCUUUAUUGUUAUUUAUAGAUAUUUCUGGUUAUUACUGAACAGAUUUCUUUCCCUCAUAUUUUAAUUUUGAAGGUUAAACUCUUGCCCCAAGAGCAAAAGGGGUAAUCAUACUACCUGAUGUAUGGACUUUUACACCAGGCUUUUACCCUGCACGAGCUGGCCAACUUGAGGGGAACUGAAGUGGGCAAACCUCGCCCUGUCCUUGAACAAGAAAGCUGGAUUUGUUGAGAGAGUAUCAUUUAAGCUGAAAUCCAGCAUGAAACCAGGGAGGUGAUGGCCAUCGCACAGGCCAUGUGCCGACUAUUCACUUUCCACCAGCUUGUGACUUGCUCAAUGAAGGGAGCAACAACUACAACUGGGUCACCAAGACCAAGCCUCCCCGCUGCUGAGAGAAAUGCAAUCAUUGAUGUCAUAGCCAAAACCUUUGACAAGCCUCUGGUUGAUGUUGAAGAAAAGAUGAGAGGUUGUUUAAGGCAUCUGCGGCUGAUGCACAAGUAGACUGAAGUCUUUGUAAAUAAAAUGUGCUGUUAAAAUGAUUAUUUAACCAUUGUUUUCACUUUGUUAUAUAGAUUUGCACCUGUUUCAACAACAUUAACUUAUUUUUAUGCUCCCGGUAGGGUCUCAUAUAGCAGUUGAACUGUCCGUCUGUCUGUCUAUCCGUCCAAAAACUUUAGCAUUGGUCAUAACUUUUGCAAUAUUGAAGAAAGCAACUUGAUAUUUAGCAUGCAUGUGUAUCUCAUUGAGCUGCACAUUUUGAGUGGUGCAAGGUCUAGGUCAUCCUUCAAGGUCAGAGGUCAAAAUCCAAUGGAAGAAACAAGGGCUGUUUGUAAAACAUGCAUGCCCCCCAUAUGGGCUGUCCGUUGUAGUGGCAGCCAUUGUGUGAAUACGAUUUUUGUCACUGUGACCUUGACCUAGUGACCUGAAAAUCAAUAGGGGUCAUCUGCAAGUCAUGAUCAAUCUACCUAUGAAGUUUCAUGAUCCUAGGCGUAUGAGUUCUUGAGUUAUCAUCCGAAAACCAUUUUACUAUUUCGGUUAACCGUGACCUUGACCUUUGACCUAGUGACCUCAAAAUCAAUAGGGGUCAUCUGCGAGUCAUGAUCAAUCUACCCAUGAAGUUUCAUGAUCCUAGGCGUAUGCGUUCUUGAGUUAUCAUCCGGAAACCAUUUUACUAUUUCGGGUCACCGUGACCUUGACCUUUGACCUAGUGACCUCAAAAUCAAUAGGGGUCAUCUGCGAGUCAUGAUCAAUGUACCUAUGACGUUUCAUGAUCCUAGACCCAAGCGUUCUUGAGUUAUCAUCCGGAAACCACCUGGUGGACGGACCGACCGACCGACAUGAGCAAAGCAAUAUACCCCCUCUUUUGAAGGGGGGCAUAAUAAGCAAAGAGAGAUAAUUUCUAUACCUGCCAAAUGAUAAAUAGAAAUUUUAUUUCAAAGCAGCGCAGUAGGGGGCAUUGUGUUUCUGACAAACACAUCUCUUGUUUGUAUUUAUUCCAUACAAUCUUACUUUUUUCAGUUCUUUCUUUGUGUUCAAUGUUAUGUUAUAACACUAUUAUAUUUUAUUAUAACAAUGCCAUGUCUGUCAAAAUAGUUUUAUCAUGCUGUGUAUAUGGAUAUAUAUGUAAAGUUUUAUGUUUUAUCGUUUAAAAAAGUAAUUAGAAUUUAAUUUAUGAUAUUUUUGUUCUUAUCAUAAAAAAGUUUUUCAGUUUUCAAGUGGGUGAAAAGUGGGUUUUUACUGAGCAUUUAACAGGUUUUAAAGCUAGUUUUAACUGCGUUUAAUCUGUGAAAAGCAUACAUUUAGCUCACUUAAUGCUCAAAUAAAAACCCACUUUUAACUCGCUUAAGAACAGGAAAAACCGACUUGAUGUGUAGAAGCGGGUGUAAAAGCCAACAUAAAGAAGGAAAACCUACUAACUUUUAACCAACUUAAGUUGGUAAAACUCGGUUUUAAAGUGUGUUUUAACUGCGUUUAAUCUAAGUUAAGCACACAUUUAGCUCACUUAACACUCAAACAAAGCCCCACUUUUAACUCGCUUAAGAACAGGAAAAACCGACUUGAUGUGUAGAAGCGGGUUUAAAAGCCAACAUAGAGAAGGAAAACACACUCACUUUUAACCCACUUAAGUUGGUUUAAGUUAGUUUUAGUUGGUUUAAGUUGGUAUAAGAAGGUAUAAGCGUGUUGGUUUAUGUGAGUGAAAUCCAGGUUUUACCUACAAAAAACCAAGUCGGUAAGCAAAAAGUGUGUUUAAAAGACACGCUUUAACCCGGUGCCAAUACCGCAGGGUUUAACACGGUUUUAACACGGAUUAAAACCGGGUUUUGCCCACUUUUUUGACAAGGG